UAGUGUAUGGUUAAGUAGGUAAGACUUCCGACUUGUAACGGAGAGGGGUGAGGUUCGAACCCCGCUGUGGUAA